rnacentral:rRNA from 1 species
AGUGAACGCUGGCGGUAGGCCUAACACAUGCAAGUCGAACGGCAGCACAGAGGAGCUUGCUCCUUGGGUGGCGAGUGGCGGACGGGUGAGGAAUACAUCGGAAUCUACUCUGUCGUGGGGGAUAACGUAGGGAAACUUACGCUAAUACCGCAUACGACCUACGGGUGAAAGCAGGGGAUCUUCGGACCUUGCGCGAUUGAAUGAGCCGAUGUCGGAUUAGCUAGUUGGCGGGGUAAAGGCCCACCAAGGCGACGAUCCGUAGCUGGUCUGAGAGGAUGAUCAGCCACACUGGAACUGAGACACGGUCCAGACUCCUACGGGAGGCAGCAGUGGGGAAUAUUGGACAAUGGGCGCAAGCCUGAUCCAGCCAUACCGCGUGGGUGAAGAAGGCCUUCGGGCUGUAAAGCCCUUUUGUUGGGAAAGAAAUCCAUCUGGUUAAUACCCGGGUGGGAUGACGGUACCCAAAGAAUAAGCACCGGCUAACCUCGUGCCAGCAGCCGCCGUAA